AUGCCACACACUGUAUUCCCCCGUGCGCAGCGCUCUGGCCAGAAAACACUCAGUCAGAUGAUCAUAAUGGCGUACGGCAUGAAGCAGGGAAAGUUCACUUAUGUCCCUGCAGGGGUGCGCCCGGCGGAACUAGUUUGCUAUACGCGGACAGAUGCGAGGUGUCAAGGCUUCACUGAUGGUGAUGUAAUGUCAGCCUCAGGGAAAUACCCAAAGGUUGGGGUGUCUGACAGGGUGGAACAGCGGACUCCAGAAUUGUUUGUACCUGGCACAACAACACGAGCAGAUACUCUGGGUGAUGCGAGGUCGGUAUUUGUGAGGAUGUGCCUGUUGUGGUUAUAA
rnacentral:rRNA from 1 species